rnacentral:rRNA from 1 species
GUGCGAGGAGGGUAGUGCGAAAAUACCAAGGCUUGUCGCCUUUGCGAACCAGCUAUUGGAAUGGGUNCAAUUUAAACCNUUAACGAGGACCUAUGANAGGCAAGUCUGGUGCCAGCANCCGCGGUAAUUCCAGCUCUCAAAAUGUACUUAACCAUUGUUGCGGUUAAAAAGCUCGUAGUUGGAUCUCUGCAACGCGAAGUGGUUCGUUCAUUGAACGAUUACUUCUUCGCGUUGCUCUCUUUUGUCGGUUUUUGGCAGUGUUCCUCACGGAGUGCUGUCGUGACUGACGAGUUUACUUUGAAUUAAUUAGAGUGCUUAAAACAGGCGUUUCGCUUGAAUAGUCUAGCAUGGAAUAAUGGAAUAGGACUUCGGUUCGAUUUUAUUGGUUUUAUGGAUCGAAGUAAUGAUUAGUAGGAAUAAACGGGGGCAUUCGUAUUGUUACGUUAGAGGUGAAAUUCUGGGACCGUAGCAAGACGAUCGACUGCGAAAGCAUUUGCCAAGAAUGUUUUCAUUAAUCAAGAACGAAAGUUAGGGGUUCGAAGGCGAUCAGAUACCGCCCUAGUCCUAACCCUAAACUCUGCCAACUAGCGAUCCGUCGAUGGUAAUUUAGCCUUGAUGGGGAGCUAAUCGGAAACGAAAGUCUUCCGGUUCCGGGGNAAGUAUGGUUGCAAAGCUGAAACUUAAAGAAAUUGACGGAAGGGCACCACCAGGAGUGGAGCCUGCGGCUUAAUUUGACAAGGGC